AAAUCAUUUCGUCUCGCAAUUCGCCAUGGAAACUGAAAAUUUCGAAGCUUCAGUAGCUGAACUCAUCGGCGGUGCCUGAGAAUGUCGCUCGGCGGUGAGAAGCGCUUGCGGCUUAGCCGGCUCGUCGAUCAUUGUCUUCAUCCUUUCACAGAAGAAGAUGGUGUGGUGUUGGAGAGCAAAGGGAAGGAAAAGGAACUGCUUAUUGCGCUCUCUCAUGUUGUAACUGAAGUUCAGCGCUGGGCUCGAGAAAUUGAUGGCGACUCUGAUAAUGAAGCGAUUCAAAUGAAGAACUCUCAUGAGAAAAGCAGUGAUGAGCAGGACCAAUCUUUGGAGAGCCACCAUUAUAUGACGAAGAUUGUUUCUGAAUUGGUACCUUUACUUGCUUUUGAGAAUAAGUAUGUCAAACAUCUUGUAGCCAAUGUACUAACAGCAGUUACAAAAUUUAUAUUUCUAACUGGAAGCGCAAGCGACUGGUAUGAAUUAGUACACUCGUUAUGUUUUGGCAUGGAGUUAGUGCUUGCCAGAAUCAUAUCUUCUCCUGCACCUUCAAACGCUGGGUCUGACAAUUUAGAUUGUUACUUAUCAAUCUUACUACCUAAGCUGAAAAAUGCCAAUUUUUCCACGGUUGCUGGUCUUCUUCAAGUUUUGCGAAAUACCUUGAAAUUCUUGAAGCAAGAGCAAAGUGAUUUUAUUGGGGAGUUGUUUGAUUCUGUUAAUUCUUGUCUUUCAAAGAUUCCUUGGGAUUUAUUAGGUAGGAUCCUCACAGAGAAAAGUUGUAACAUUGUAGAAAUCCAGAGCAACGAUGACAUGCGUUCUAAUAAUUUGCAUCGGAGGCAAGGAUUAAAAUUUCUGUUCCUAGGAAAUUUUGUUCAAUUUCUCUGUUCCUUGGCUGAGCAGAGUGACUUUGAGGAAGCUUCAUGUGGUUCAUUUAAGAGUCACCCCCUACUUGGUACAAUCAUCAACCUGAUUCCUAACCUUUUUGAUUGGUGCCUUAACAACCAAGUAGAUCACUUUGAUAGGUGCUUGUCCCGAUAUUUCAGUCACAAGUUGCUGAUAUUAAUGAUCAGGCUUAGUUUCCAUUGCCAUCUUCAGUGUUCCACUCUUGUUAUAUGGUUGCAACUUUGCAGAAAGCGUUUCCAAAACCUCUUGUUGCUUCCAAAGCUUGAGCUGGAAUCUUCCUCUGAUACUUCACUUGAAGAUUCUCCAUUGAUCGUGAGCUAUUUUGGUGACAAAUGCAGUCCAUGUUCCUUGCAUCUGCGAAGACUAGCUGUUUUUCUAUUCCUCAGGUGUUCCUUAAGCUUCACAUGUAAACAAACAACUGAAAAGUGUGAUCCGUCUACCUUUCUUGCUACAAGUGAUGACUGCACUUGUAGCAAGAAAGGUAUACUGGAGCUUUAUAAGUGGCUUCUCGGGAACCUUCCAACAAAUAUUUUUCUGGAUACUAAUAUGUAUGCAAAAAACUGCACCAAGUUUGCAUCAUCGUUUCUCCAGCUAUAUAUGCACGAGGAUGAUUUAUUAUUCAAAGUGCUGUUGCAACUUCUUCAGCUGCCUUCUCAUAGAGAGCCAUGUUCUUGUGAAGGACCAUCCCAGGAGGUGAAGGAAGAUAUACUUUUUCAUGUUUCAAACAUUUUUGAUCCUCAGCACAUGUUCCACAUUUUUCUUAAGGAGUUAAACUAUGAUCAUGAAAUGCUCUUAGAUUACCUCGUGUCAAAAGAUGCAGGAACAUGUUGUUUGGAAUACCUGCUAAGAUGCCUGCAUAUAAUAAAUGAUUCCAGGCAUGCGCUAGUGGAUUCAUCAGGCAAGAGAAGAAAGGUUAUGCUGAAUAGCUCAACUAUUUCAGAAGAGCGAUUGUCUGGUUCACCCAAGCGAAGCAAGGAAACACUUCCAUCCUUUGAGGACACUGGAAAUUGUGAUUAUGGCUACAAGCCUCAAAGAGUUGGGGUAGAAUCCCUGAAAAAAUCUAAAAAUUGUUUGCACUUAUUGAAAACAUCCUUGGAAAAUCUUCACAGAGAGAAUCUCUUUCCAUACAAUCCCAAAGUGCUCAUAAAACGGUAUGCAUGUCUGCACGAUGCUUUAUUGAUUUGACGAAAUUUUUGGAGCUUCCCAUUGGAGAUUAAGUAAUUAAGAGUCGUCCAGCCCCAUGCAGAGGUCCUCUUCUUGAAGCAUGGAGGAGCUCCCAUUUUGAUAUAAUCCUCAAGCUUGGAGAUCCUUUCAAUCUAAAAGCUUCACUUUCGAGUUUUUUAAAUAAGACUACUAAGGGUUUGAUGAAAUGACUUAUAUUCAAGCUAUCUCCUUCCUGACAUGGAGCUCUUGAGAGUGAAUCAUCAAUUGAGGCUUCGAAAUCAAUAGUAGAAUUUCCCAAUUUGGUUUUGACGUCGAUUUGGAGUUGAAAUGAGCGAAAACGAAGUCAAGUUGCAUCAACUGGAGGCAAAGGAGCAAAAGAGGCUUAUAUGCCCUCUGCCCUACAGCGUCUUGGCACUCUGAAGUUUGUUCAUGCAACAAUUCUCGUCAAUGCCAUGAUGCUGUCCCUAGCUCCAUGUAGUCGUUACGUUUAUUUAAAAACAUGUUUUUGCCACCCAAUCGACCCAUCUCCAAUUCCGACUGCUUUUGGAUGUCUUCCUCCUACGUUAUGAGUUCUUUUUAUGACUUUUAUGCACUUUAUCAUUUUCUCGUUAUUCAACGUGUGGAUGAGAGACUAAGAUACUCAUUUUUAGCUUGAGUCACUAAGAUAAUUUCUCUAUUUCUUUGUACUGGUAAGACUUGAAUUAACUUUUAUAUUGUCAGUUUUCUAAUGAACAUUGAUCAUAUUUUCGGA